rnacentral:rRNA from 1 species
GGAAUAAUCUAGGGAAACUUAGACUAAUACCUUAUACGCUCUUCGGAGGAAAGAUUUAUCGCUGAAAGAUCAGCCCGCGUUGGAUUAGCUAGUUGGUGAGGUAAUGGCUCACCAAGGCUACGAUCCAUAGCUGGUCUGAGAGGAUGAUCAGCCACAUUGGGACUGAGACACGGCCCAAACUCCUACGGGAGGCAGCAGUGGGGAAUCUUCGGCAAUGGGCGCAAGCCUGACCGAGCCAUGCCGCGUGAGUGAUGAAGGCCUUAGGGUUGUAAAACUCUUUCAAUCGUGAAGAUAAUGACGGUAACGAUAGAAGAAGCUCCGGCUAACUCCGUGCCAGCAGCCGCGGUAAUACGGAGGGAGCUAGCGUUGUUCGGA